rnacentral:sRNA from 1 species
AAGCUACUGGGGGAGCCGAAGCUCCCCCAAAGUGUGUGCUCUUUAUUAUUGUUUUCUGCUUGGGCUUCUUGUUUUUGUUGAGUGCCCAUUCACGAGACCUGCGUCUGUGAAACCUCCCAGUCGGGAGUCAAGAGCAAACGGAUUGCUUUGGUCGCUGCGUUGCAAUGAUCAUUCGAUCCAACCAGUUCAGGCGCUACCUAAGGGUAGUU